CUUGUUUCUCUUUCAGACCAAAGCAAACCUUGUGACCCCGAGAAAUGGGGAGCCACUCAUUGCUGCCAUUCAGGACUUCCUAACAGGCCCUGAUCCUGAAGGUGCUGUCAGUGAUCCAGGACCACCCCCAGUGCAUGCCUCUGAGAGCUGGACAAGAGCAACAACUGCCUCACCAUGGCCCUGUGUGGCUCCAAAGUGCUGAGGAUCAAACCCGGGACCUCAUGCAUCUCAGGCAAGUGCUCUACCACUGAGCUAUAGCCCUAGCUUAGAUGUGGCAAACUUCUUUAACUUCCUGUUUCCUCAGACCCUCUAGCAUUAGGAUUCUUAAUACCAUGCUCAAACUCAGAACCUCGGGGCCUCUGUUGCUGUCAUUUUGUUCAUUAUGAAAUAAAAUCCCCGCUCUCUAAGUUGGCUGCCUUUUCCCAUUGUUCUACGUCCUGCUCCUGUGCACACCUGGGGUCUCCCCUGCUCUACCUUUGCUUCUCCCUCACUCUUCCACACACAUUCAGAUUCCUUCUCCCAUCCUCCUCUCUCUGCAGACCCCAUGUCCAGAGUCCAAUCUGACGGUCAUCAGAAAGACUCCAGUGGCCUUCCCUCCACCCCACACCUGCACAUGCCCCGGAGCCCUUUCCUUGGUUCCAACUGUCACUGUAGUUCUGCCCUUCAGUCCCUUGGACUCCUAGGCUAUGAGAGCAAGGGUUGUGCUGUGUCACAUUCUAUUUUAUCCCUCUGG